CCUACGGGUGGCAGCAGUGGGGAAUAUUGCACAAUGGGCGCAAGCCUGAUGCAGCCAUGCCGCGUGUGUGAAGAAGGCCUUCGGGUUGUAAAGCACUUUCAGCGGGGAGGAAGGCGGUGAGGUUAAUAACCUCAUCGAUUGACGUUACCCGCAGAAGAAGCACCGGCUAACUCCGUGCCAGCGGCCGCGGUAAUACGGAGGGUGCAAGCGUUAAUCGGAAUUACUGGGCGUAAAGCGCACGCAGGCGGUCUGUCAAGUCGGAUGUGAAAUCCCCGGGCUCAACCUGGGAACUGCAUUCGAAACUGGCAGGCUAGAGUCUUGUAGAGGGGGGUAGAAUGCCAGGUGUAGCGGUGAAAUGCGUAGAGAUCUGGAGGAAUACCGGUGGCGAAGGCGGCCCCCUGGACAAAGACUGACGCUCAGGUGCGAAAGCGUGGGGAGCAAACAGGAUUAGAUACCCUUGUAGUC
rnacentral:rRNA from 1 species